rnacentral:rRNA from 1 species
CCUACGGGAGGCAGCAGUGAGGAAUAUUGGUCAAUGGACGAGAGUCUGAACCAGCCAAGUAGCGUGAAGGAUGACUGCCCUAUGGGUUGUAAACUUCUUUUAUAUGGGAAUAAAAUGUUCCACGUGUGGGUUUUUGUAUGUACCAUAUGAAUAAGGAUCGGCUAACUCCGUGCCAGCAGCCGCGGUAAUACGGAGGAUCCGAGCGUUAUCCGGAUUUAUUGGGUUUAAAGGGAGCGUAGGUGGAUUGUUAAGUCAGUUGUGAAAGUUUGCGGCUCAACCGGAAAAUUGCAGUUGAAACUGGAAGACUUGAGUGUAGUUGAGGUAGGCGGAAUGCGUGGUGUAGCGGUGAAAUGCAUAGAUAUCACGAAGAACUCCGAUUGCGAAGGCAGCUCACUAAGCUACAACUGACACUGAAGCUCGAAAGUGUGGGGAUCAAACAGGAUUAGAUACCCUAGUAGUC